rnacentral:rRNA from 1 species
CAGCAGCCACGGGAAUACGAAGGGGGCUAGCGUUGCUCGGAAUUACUGGGCGUAAAGGGAGCGUAGGCGGAUCGUUUAGUCAGGGGUGAAAUCCCGGGGCUCAACCUCGGAACUGCCUUUGAUACUGGCGAUCUUGAGUAUGGGAGAGGUGUGUGGAACUCCGAGUGUAGAGGUGAAAUUCGUAGAUAUUCGGAAGAACACCAGUGGCGAAGGCGACACACUGGUCCAUUACUGACGCUGAGGCUCGAAAGCGUGGGGAGCAAACAGGAUUAGAUACCCCAGUAGUCCCUGUCUCUUAUAU